AUGACCAGCUGGAGCAGACCCUUUGGCUCGUAAAAGAUGCAGCUCAAAGAACUCCAUCGUUUAGCAUCUGAGGCGGACAUGGUGGGCCCAGAAAUCCAAAAUCAUAAAUAAAGGAGAUUUACUUUGGAUAGACCUGUCCAAUCUAAAUCUGCUUUAGGUGACUACUCGGUGCAUUAUUGUACUAGCACCAAACACUUUGUGAAUUAUUGUAUCUUUUAAGCUGUCAAGCACUAAUCGGGGUAGCUGUAAAGAAGAAGAUAAGGAUGCGAUGAGGCCACUCAUGGGCACCCGAUCCUCAUCUCUACUCCUAUAUAUAAGCCCCUAUCUAUCUCUUGCAAACUCAAUUCAGAAGACUUCUGAGAGUUUACUUGAGAACGUACAGCGGGCGGAGGAUGGCAUGACUUCCGAUGAGCGGUUCGUGGCUGACGGUGAGGAAUGAAGGCUGCCCCGAAGGAGGGUAAAGGAAAAGCGGCUGGCCUUCGGGAUUUGCUCACGGUGGUGUCGCGACAUCGAGCACGACCGACAAUGAAAGCACGAUACAAGAUUGCGAUGGCUCGAGCGCAGGGACAGAAAAGGCCGACAUCAAGGAAAGGGGCGUGGCUCCGGCUCGCGAAUAGCGGCGUCGUGCGGCGGAACAGCACUGCGAGCACGAGAGGAAGAGAAAGAAAUGGGGUGGGAGAGGAAAAUAAAAACUAAGUUUAGAUUAUCUAGACAUAGGUUUUAUAUUCAAUCAACUCUCACUUUAAUUGGGCGUUCUAAAA